rnacentral:rRNA from 1 species
AACGCGAAGAACCUUACCAGCCCUUGACAUGUCCAGGACCGGUCGCAGAGAUGUGACCUUCCCUUCGGAGCCUGGAACACAGGUGCUGCAUGGCUGUCGUCAGCUCGUGUCGUGAGAUGUUGGGUUAAGUCCCGCAACGAGCGCAACCCCCGUCCUUAGUUGCUACCAUUUAGUUGAGCACUCUAAGGAGACUGCCGGUGAUAAGCCGCGAGGAAGGUGGGGAUGACGUCAAGUCCUCAUGGCCCUUACGGGCUGGGCUACACACGUGCUACAAUGGCGGUGACAAUGGGAUGCUAAGGGGCGACCCUUCGCAAAUCUCAAAAAGCCGUCUCAGUUCGGAUUGGGCUCUGCAACUCGAGCCCAUGAAGUUGGAAUCGCUAGUAAUCGUGGAUCAGCACGCCACGGUGAAUACGUUCCCGGGCCUUGUACACACCG